rnacentral:lncRNA from 1 species
AGGGAGCCUGGGCCACUAGAAGGAAGCCACGUUGGGCCUGAGGCUGCAUGUGACAGUUAUGUGGCCAGGAGCAAGAUCCAGAAAGUCCUUCAGAAUUUGCAGGAACAUCUGCUGCAUGACCCAGACAUUCAUGGCAGCACCUGCUUCCGAUGUCUGGCUUCCUUGUUGCGGGCAACGUGUGCACAGCCUGGAGGGACCCCAGGCAGGACAGAGGACAGUGCUGGGCACAUCGGUGCUGGUGGAAGGUUUGUUAGCUCCAGAGACAGUGACAUCAUUUCCCAAGUUGUGUAUCCUUUCUGGCCACAAACAUCUCAGGCGGCCUUCCUUUGGAACCCAUAAGCUCAGGUCUUCACUAAUUCCUAUGGUUUCUUUCCUAAGCAGAUAGGUGUUUUUCAUUUCAUGAUUAAUGCUCCCACCUACCAAGUGUAGGUGGGGUCUAGGAGCUGGUCUCCUAAUCCCAUUGUUGUGCAACCCCAGUUAGUCCUCAGGGCUCUGCAGUGCUGUCCUUGGGUUUGUGCCACGUGAGAGAGAUUAGAGAAACAACACUUGCUGCUGUUGCUGGGCAAAGGCUUGCCUUGCUCUGAGGAGAGGAAAUGUGAAGACCCAGUUCGCCCCAUGAUUAGUCUUUGUCUGCCAGUCUCUGAGUGAAGGAACCCGUGAUUGCCGAAGGGAUGAACAAGUGGUCCACUUGUACAGGCUGCAGGCAGAGGCUGCGGUGGGUUGCACAGACAACAGCUUGUCCCAGUCACAGCCGAUCAGGGCUGGCCAGCAGUGACCCUUGGAGUCUGGUGGAGGGGCUUGUGUAGGCAGCUCUGCCUGGGUGAGGUGAGGCCUGAGAGACGAGUGUCCAGAAGAGGCACCGGGCAGGAAGCUGGUCAUUUCUGGGGGUAGAGAAAAUAUCAGGGGAUCCUCACCCUGCAGGUCCUGUUCCUGGGAGGCCGCUAUUUGCACUGCUCUGCACAUAUUUACAUAGCUAAUUUCUCACUAAGGAAGGACUGUUAGCUUUUCUCAGAUCUCAGAGGGGUCGCUAACCCUCAGAGAUUCAGAAACAAAUGACACAUUUCACAUUCUG